GAGAGAAUGAGCGUACGGUGAGUGACGUCAUCGACCAGGAAGCUAUAAAUAUCCCCUGAGCACACAAGCCGCCAGCUUUUGAUAUACUGCAAAUGAAGAAGGUUUUAUGGAUGUGUUUUCUCAGG